ACUUUCUUGUAGCUUUCCUCCAGGGGACUCAAGAUGUCAGACACUGAGAACGGAGUCGUGUGCUUUGGACUCAUCGACAUGAUUCGGCGGCGGCUGGAGGAGGAAGGAAGAGGAGGAAAAAAAAGGGAGAGGGGGAAGGCGAAGCCUCGCUGCUUUUUUUUUCUCCCUUUGCCAAAUAUUCUGGUGUUACCUUAACGCCGAUCUUGUUGGAUGUACACGUAACGGAGUGGACCGAGUCCUCCUUAAUUGGCUUGAGUGGAGGCUCGGGGGCUGCCUCGCGUUUGUUUUAGCCCGGCGCCAGGUUUUAGGCAGCCACCAGAGGCGGGGCGUAAGCGCUAAAGCAACAAGACAAUAGAAGCCUACAUCUUGCCCGAGAUAAUUAGCUUACAUGCUGAUGACAAGGGUAAAGAAAGCUCAGGACACCCUCCGCCCUCCCACCUGCGCCCGCGUUUUUGUGCGGUCCCCACGGCAGAGCUGGGGAGGCCACCCUACGUUUGCGCAGGGAGACGCGCUCGCCGCUGGUGUUGCGAAAGACCAGAGCGAAGCCCGGCUCCUUGCCCUUCCUUCCCAGGGGCUUCUCUGGGGGGCGCUCUCAGGCCCCGACGAACUGAGCAUUGAUCACUGUGGUGGCUAAGCAAGGAGGGGAGGCGACGCCGGGCUUAAGCGAACCACAGAGGAGAACUGGCAACGCUGAAUACAGACCUUGUCUGCAGGCGCGACCUGGCCGGGCCUGAGUCCCGAAUGGGGUCUAAUUGCGAAGGCGGGGUGGGUUUCCCAGUCACCCAGCUUCUUUCUCUCACUCGCCAUUAUUUCAUAGUUGUUUGUAAGUUUAAGGAACACCAAGUGUAGAAUGUUGUACAUCUCUUCCAGUCUCAACGCCAUUUAGAAAUGGAGAUCAAUCUUCACAAGGUUUUUGUGAGAUUCAAGUAAGAUGAAGCACAUCAAAAUGCUUUGAAAGCUUUGAAUGUUUUUCAGCUCAGUGCCAGCACUGGAGAUUGCGGUAGUUAUUAUCAUGACUAUCCCCACCCCCUCUUAGGUCCCAAGACCUGAGUAAAAGGAAGAGUUGGGUGAAUCUUCCACAGCCCCUAGGUCCUGUCUUCUCGGCCUUCGUCCCUUGGCAGCUUUUCAACCUCUCAGCAGGCCACAGGCGCACGUGGCUGGCAGCUCCCCGGCCUCCGGCUCUGACAGUCCGGGGGCAACCAGGCCUGCAGUUCUCGAGGAAACCCCCAGCCCCCCACGUCUCGUUCUGGACCAGGAACCCCCUCCCCAACAACCGCGCAGCAAGUGGCGACUCUGGGAGCUGAACUGGAGUGGAGCUCGAAGUGGCUGGGGCGGGCAAAGACUCCCGCUUCACUCUGGGACACAACUGGGACGGCGCUUCAACCUCUGCCUGCAGGCGUGCUUCUCGCGCGCACCAGCAAGCUCUCUAUCCACCUCGCCUGGGCCUUUGCAGCGCCCUGCCGCCCAGGCUCCAGCGCCUCUACUACCCUAGCCCCUUCUCAACACGCGGCUCUGCCUUCUUCCCCAGUACCACUGCACUGCCGAAAAUAAGCCCGGAGACUAACGCACCUUGUAGGGAAGAGAAGGACAUCUGUAUCUCCAAGCUUAUCCAAGCAAAGGCCUCCAGAGUCCCUCCCAUGGCCCGAAACACCUCCCUCUGACCGAAGAGCGUCCUUUCUUUCCGCCGCCUCCUGGACUCAUCCUAAAUAGGGCAGACCCGGGCUAAACCAGUGAUUUUUUUUUCCAUGAAUACGAAGAACCCCGAUUGCACUUUG
ensembl:lncRNA NKX2-1-AS1 NKX2-1 antisense RNA 1